rnacentral:rRNA from 1 species
AUUGAACGCUGGCGGCAGGCUUAACACAUGCAAGUCGAACGAGUGGCGGACGGGUGAGUAAUGCUUGGGAAUCUAGCUUAUGGAGGGGGAUAACUACGGGAAACUGUAGCUAAUACCGCGUACCAUAGGAUGAGCCCAAGUGGGAUUAGGUAGUUGGUGAGGUAAAGGCUCACCAAGCCGACGAUCUCUCGCUGGUCUGAGCGGAUGACCAGCCACACUGUGACUGAGAAACGGCCCAGACUCCGACGGGAGGCAGCAGUGGGGAAUAUUGCGCAAUGGGGGCAACCUGAUGCAGCCAUGCCGCGUGAAUGAAGAAGGCCUUCGGGUUGUAAAGUUCUUUCGGUAGCGAGGCGUUAACUACAGAAGAAGCACCGGCUAACUCCGUGCCAGCAGCCGCGGUAAUAC